rnacentral:rRNA from 1 species
GCCGCGUGGGUGAUGAAGGUCUUCGGAUUGUAAAGCCCUGUUUUCUAGGACGAUAAUGACGGUACUAGAGGAGGAAGCCACGGCUAACUACGUGCCAGCAGCCGCGGUAAUACGUAGGUGGCGAGCGUUGUCCGGAUUUACUGGGCGUAAAGGGUGCGUAGGCGGAUGUUUAAGUGGGAUGUGAAAUCCCCGGGCUUAACCUGGGGGCUGCAUUCCAAACUGGAUAUCUAGAGUGCAGGAGAGGAAAGCGGAAUUCCUAGUGUAGCGGUGAAAUGCGUAGAGAUUAGGAAGAACACCAGUGGCGAAGGCGGCUUUCUGGACUGUAACUGACGCUGAGGCACGAAAGCGUGGGUAGCAAACAGGAUUAGAUACCCUGGUAGUCCACGCCGUAAACGAUGGAUACUAGGUGUAGGGGGUAUCAACUCCCCCUGUGCCGCAGUUAACACAAUAAGUAUCCCGCCUGGGGAGUACGGUCGCAAGAUUAAAACUCAAAGGAAUUGACGGGGGCCCGCACAAGCAGCGGAGCAUGUGGUUUAAUUCGAAGCAACGCGAAGAACCUUACCUGGACUUGACAUCCCUUGCAUAGCCUAGAGAUAGGUGAAGCCCUUCGGGGCAAGGAGACAGGUGGUGCAUGGU